rnacentral:rRNA from 1 species
CCUACGGGAGGCAGCAGUAGGGAAUAUUGCUCAAUGGGGGAAACACUGAAGCAGCACCGCCGCGUGGACGAUGAAGGUUUUCGGAUUGUAAACUCCUUUUGUUAGAGAAGAUAAUGACGGUAUCUAACGAAUAAGCACCGGCUAACUCCGUGCCAGCAGCCGCGGUAAUACGGAGGAUGCGAGCGUUAUCCGGAUUUAUUGGGUUUAAAGUGUGCGCAGGCGGGAGAUCAAGUCAGCGGUAAAAUGUCGGGGCUCAACCCCGGCCUGCCGUUGAAACUGGUUUUCUAGAGUUGGAGAGAAGUAGGCGGAAUUCGUGGUGUAGCGGUGAAAUGCAUAGAUAGCACGAAGAACUCCGAUUGCGAAGGCAGCAUACCGGCUCCAUACUGACGCUGAGGCACGAAAGCGUGGGGAUCGAACAGGAUUAGAUACCCCGGUAGUC